AUUGAACGCUGGCGGCAUGCUUUACACAUGCAAGUCGAACGGUAACAGGCCUUCGGGUGCUGACGAGUAGCGAACGGGUGAGUAUGCAUCGGAACGUGCCCAGAGGUGGGGGAUAACGCAGCGAAAGCUGUGCUAAUACCGCAUGUGAUCUGAGGAUGAAAGCGGGGGACCAGGCAGCAAUGUUUGGCCUCGCGCCUUUGGAGCGGCCGAUGUCAGAUUAGGUAGUUGGUGGGGUAAAGGCCUACCAAGCCGACGAUCUGUAGCUGGUCUGAGAGGACGACCAGCCACACUGGGACUGAGACACGGCCCAGACUCCUACGGGAGGCAGCAGUGGGGAAUUUUGGACAAUGGGCGCAAGCCUGAUCCAGCAAUGCCGCGUGCGGGAAGAAGGCCUUCGGGUUGUAAACCGCUUUUGUACGGAACGAAAAGGCUCUGGCUAAUACCUGGGGCUGAUGACGGUACCGUAAGAAUAAGCACCGGCUAACUACGUG
rnacentral:rRNA from 1 species